UCAUUAUUGCAACUUGUUGCUUGCCAAACUUUUAGCCAAUCAAAAUACUUGCAUAUGCCAUUUGCUUUGCGAGUUGUCAAACUUUUUUUUCCAGCCAUUCACUUCAUUAUUGCAACUUGUUGUCAUCAUUUUCUUUCUUUCUUUUUAUUUCUUUUUAUUAGACGAGUCCCACAAUCUGUACAAAAUCAUAGCCUAGCCAACACAGCUAGCUAUCCAAGGAAAAUUUACACAGUGACAUCUAAACAAAUAGUAACCAAACUAGAAUAUUAAAUGUUGUACUAUACUCCUGAUUCUAGUGGGGGCUGGAACAUUACACAAGUAUGCAAUUUCUUUUGCUAUGUUUUCCCAUCCUCUGCUGUUAUGCUCAAACACUCUUUGGUUUCUUUCAAUCCAGAUGCUAUAGACACACUCAGCAUAUAUCAAUUUGAAUAGCUUUGCUGCUUGAGAUUUUCCCUUGGAGUUUGUCACAGCUCAUUGUAUCACUUUUGUGGCUAUUUGGCAGCGGUAGGGAGGUGCACACGCACAAGUAGUAGAGCAGCAACUAUACGCCGGGUUCCGGAGCAUCGGGAGUAUACCAAGUCGAAAGUUUCAGGUUCUAUUCGCGGGAAUUGCAAAUUCCCGCUUCACCGGCGUCGUCGGCACUCAACCCAAGGGGCCGUCGUCGGCAUGAGGACUCCUCUCCAUCUCCGGUUCCUCAGACCACCCUCGCCGGAUUUGACUCCCUCCGCCCACCGCCGCCAUGCUGAUAUUGAGUCACAGUUAGGAUUCAACCCAAAACUUGGCUAUUCUACUCCUAAAGUGCCUUGCCUUAGCCUCGUCACUACUUCAUCGAGGUUA